UGCCUUGGCUCUUUUUUUUUCUUUUUGAGACAGGGUCUCACUCUGUUGUCCAGGCUGGAGUAUAAUGGCAUGAUCACGGCUCACAGCAGCCUCAACCUCUCAGGCUCAACCAAUCCUCCCGCCUCAGCCUUCGGAGUAGCUGGGACUACAGAUCCAGGAAGGCCACUGAGAUUUCCACUUUAUCUACUGUUUCUUGUGCACGUACUUACCAUAAACCAAAACAGCCUCUGUGUUAUCAUCCUUCAAUGUUCAACACAUCGCAUCGGAGUCGCCCUUUCCCUACAGAAUAUAAGCUCUGGGUCUGGGGGCUAAUAGUGUGGGGAUCCACCAUCUUGUCUUGCCACCACCUGAGACACAGAUGUGGCUUCUAUUCGUAUGUCCCUAUUAAAUGUUUUUCUCUGAGAAACUAGAUUUGUCAGCCUCUUUCUU
rnacentral:lncRNA from 1 species